UAUAGCUCAGUGGUAGAGCACUUCCUUGGUAAGGAAGAGGUCACGAGUUCAAGUCUCGNUGAUUU
rnacentral:tRNA from 1 species